GCACUAGCACUCGGUUUUGAGCACGAACUACUUCUGCCUUUUCAGUCCCGUAGUAGUUAGUGU
rnacentral:tRNA from 1 species